CAUUGAUGACUUCUCUUGAACUCCUACCUUCCUUUCAUCCACGGCGAGGGCCGUGUUGUCACCGUCAAGAACCGCCAACGCCGCCUCUUCACCAACAAUGCCAAUGGCAGUUGGAACCCCUACCGGGGCAAAAGCGUUUGGAGCCACGUCCCCUUCAAGCAACCCGCCACCUUUGACAUGCUCUUCAUGCCCCCUGAUGAGAAGGAGGCCGUCAUCGACGAGCUCAUGGCAUUCCAGGAGAGCAAGGAAUACUACGCCAAGGUCGGCAAGGCGUGGAAGCGUGGGCACCUCCUUUAUGGACCACCCGGCACCGACAAGUCCACCAUGGUCGCCGCCAUGGCAAACUUCCUCGACUACGACGUCUAUGGCCUCGAGCUCACGACGGUCAAGAACAACACCAAGUUGCGGAAGCUCUUCAUCGAGACCAUGGGCAAGUCUGUCAUCAUCAUAGAGGACAUUGAGUGCUCUGUCAACCUCACCGGAAAACGCCACAAGGACAAGAAGGUCGCACGCAACAAGGACUCCGACAAGAAUACAAAAUGCUAACAAGACCCAUUGAAGGAUGAUGAAAGCAAGCUGAUGCUCUCAAGCCUGCUUAACUUCAUCAACGGGCUAUGGUCAGCAUGCGGCCAUGAGAGAAUCAUCAUCUUCACAACGAACAACAAGGAGAAACCGGACCUGGCACCGGUCCGGAAGGGCAGGAUGGACAAGCACAUCGAGAUAUCCUAUUGCCUCUUUGAGGGCUUCAAGGUGCUUGCCAAGUACUACCUGGACAUCAUGGAGCAGCUGUUUGGGGAGAUUCGACGGCUGCUCGAGGAGACCAACAUGUCGCCCACCGAUGUGGCAGACAGCUUGAUGCCAAUGUCGACGAAGAAGAAGAAGAGGGACCCUGAUUAUUGUUUAUUAGGCCUCAUUGAGGCGCUCAAGCAGGCCAAGCAGGCGAAGGCGAAUGAGGAAGAGGAGGCAGAAGCGGAGAAAGCCGAGGAGAAAGAGAAGCAAAGGAGAAGAAAGGAAAGGAGAAAGACGACGGGAAGGGCGCAACACCGGAGGAAGCUAAAGGAGACAUCAAACAAGGUGAUGAGUUAA
rnacentral:rRNA from 1 species